GGCCGCGGGAAUUCGAUUCAGGCCUAACACAUGCAAGUCGAGCGGUAGAGAGAAGCUUGCUUCUCUUGAGAGCGGCGGACGGGUGAGUAAUGCCUAGGAAUCUGCCUGGUAGUGGGGGAUAACGUCCGGAAACGGACGCUAAUACCGCAUACGUCCUACGGGAGAAAGCAGGGGACCUUCGGGCCUUGCGCUAUCAGAUGAGCCUAGGUCGGAUUAGCUAGUUGGUGGGGUAAUGGCUCACCAAGGCGACGAUCCGUAACUGGUCUGAGAGGAUGAUCAGUCACACUGGAACUGAGACACGGUCCAGACUCCUACGGGAGGCAGCAGUGGGGAAUAUUGGACAAUGGGCGAAAGCCUGAUCC
rnacentral:rRNA from 1 species